rnacentral:lncRNA from 1 species
GUAUAUAUUGUGUCAUAUUGACAGGGUUGAGAUUUUUUUUUUCUCUUUUUCAAGCAAUUUCUGUUAAAACAAGUGCCCCAAUCACCGUGCAAAUCAAUAGACAGAUGUGCUGGUGCGUGCCCUGCAAAUUUUCGUUGUUUUAGCUGUCAUACGUCAAAGCGUGACUGGCGAGGCGGCCAAUGUCAGCAAGCAAACAGGUCAUCGCUUCAAAUGACAGUAGUACUCAAGCAAACAGGUCAUCGCUUCAAAUGACAGUAGUACUCAAGCAAACAGGUCAUCGCUUCAAAUGACAGCAAUACUGUGAUCCAAUAAUGCUGUAAUCCAUAGAGACGAUGAUUAUUACUCGCUAAUUUACAUAAAUAUCCUUAGUUCAACUCGAAUGAAAAAGAUGACCCUACUCCAAGCUGUUAACUAUGGUUCAGAGUUACAAAUCUAGCAUGUAGUAAGAGAGAAUUUAUCACAACUAUUAUUCCCUAUGUUUUUGUUCUUUUCUGUUUGGCACUCAUCCAUCACCAUAAUACCUAGCCAGAUUGAUCAAAAAGCAAGAGCUUCAUAUGUACAAACACCAUGCAGCAACCAGAUAUAAGGGAAUCAAUGUCCUGCACGAGAGAACACAUUACGUGUAACGACCAAGUACCUCCAGAAGGCAAGGAUCCCAGCCACAUGCUCAAUCGCUCAUCCACUUCAAUCACAGUGCCUACUGUCAAGAUCACAGUGCGUAGAUGCUACAGAUUUGUACAGCUAAAACUAGGCACGCUUCUGAUCCCCCUCUACUAC